rnacentral:lncRNA from 1 species
UGCUUUUUCACUUUUUCUUUUUGACUUUUAAAAUUUUAUAUUUUGCCAUCUUAAAAUUUCAAAAAUAUUUAGGAGGGUACGAUGUUAAUGGAGAAGACAAAGUGACUAACUUGCUCUUACUUCUUCAAUAAGAAAAAAAAUAUUUUUUAAUAUAUUUCUGUUAUUUUGCAGAGCAUUUUUCGGUAUAAAUUAUAAGAAAUAGAUGAAAUAGUGAUGAAACCACGAUGGAGAGGCUCAAUACAAUAACUUCAAAUAUUGAGAGGGUAAAAUAUAGAUUUUUAAAAGUUAAGGAGGAAAAUUAAAAACAGGUAUUCAUAAGAGAAUUUUUUGUAAUUUAGUCUAAAUGUUAGAAAAUAUUAAUUUUAUAAGAGAGUUGAAACCCAGAGAGAGAGAGAGAGAGAAAGAGAGAGAGAGAGAGAGAGAGAGAGAGAUGUAGUAUCAUAUGUACCAUCAACUCAUACAUUCAUAUAUUUCAUAGAGUUCCUUCUCCCACAACAUCAUUAGCUCAUACACACAUGAUAAUCAAACAUAUAAUUAAGAGCCAAUAUUGUUUGUCAUUGUUAUUAUUAUUCAAUAAGGUUCCCUUUUCCUUCUCCUUUUUUUAAUUCCUUUUUUGCCCCCACUCAUGCAUGCAUGCAUUCUCCCAAAAGGAGCAACAAAUUAUAUAACAAACUUAAGAAGUGCAUAAAUAUAUAUGAAACCAUCAUCCUAAUGCUUUUUUGCAUGUAAAACAAUAGCAUGCAGUCCAAAACCCCUUGCACUCACCACCAACAUUGCCAUUCAACACACAUAAUGCUGAGCAGAUCUUGUUCAAGCAUGGCCCAAUGUAUAACUUCAUUUUGGCCUCAGUGCAAUCCCCCUCAUCAGUGCCCUUCACCAUCCCUAUAUUUAUACACACAUGCAACCAACUAUUUCAUUAUAACAAGUAGAGUUAGAUGUCAAAAAAAAAAAUAGUACAAAAGUAUUACAAAGGCUAAAUUACAAGAAAUCUUCUUAUAAAUAACUGUUUUUUCAUUUUUCCUCUCUAUCUGUAACGCCCUAACUUUUUAGAGGAUCACCCAUCUUAGGAAUAUUACUCACGUCCUAGCACACUUAACACUCUUAAUCUCUUGGGUCUUGCCACUACCCAAAAUACUUAAAUCGGGUUAAGAGUUCUAGCCCUAUUAUAUCUUUUAUAUAGAACUAUCUGGGGUUUCACAAUCUUCUCCCUUUAAGCCAUGACGUUCUCGUCAAGCUCAGACUCUCAAGUAUCAGGCGAUGUGAGACUCGUUUCGCUAGCCUUGUCAUUACGAUCCUGGCUUAGCCGAAACUCAACUCACACUUCCGGCUGGUAAUUGAUUCUGAUACCAACUGUGACGCCCCAACUUCCCAGGGGGUCACUCAUCCUAGGACAACUCCCGUUCUAGCACACUUAACUUUCAUAACCUCUUGGGCCUUUCCACAUACCACUCAAAAUGGUUAAAUCGGGUUAAGAGUUCUAGCCCUAUUAUAUCUUUUACAUAAGACUAUCUUGUGAAACAACCGUUGUACUCUAAAAACUAAAAGCUUAAGCUUUUAGAGUACAACAGUUGUUUCACAUGGUAUCAGAACAGGAGGUCCUGAGUUCGAGUCACGCCAGGCUCCUAGCAUAUUAAUUUCCUCCCAUUUAAUUCAAGCCCACGUCAUGGGCCGAUUAAAAAGUCUCGAGCCCAGACGUGAGGGGAGUGUUAAAUAUAAAAAUAUUUAAACACCGUUCUCUAACAGCUUAAGCUUUUAGAGUACAAUGGUUGUUUCAUAUAUCUAGGGUCUCACACUAUCUUUCAAAAACCUAUAUUUUACCCUCUCAAUAUUUCAAGUUGCUGCAUUAAUUAGCCCCCCCGCCCCCNNNNNNNNNNNNNNNNNNNNNNNNNCCUUUCGUCAGGGUUCCAUCACUAUCCCGCUCAUUUUUUAUAAUUUGUACCGAAAAUGCACAUCUAAAUGGUAGAAAUAUAUUAAAAUUUUAUUUUUGCCUUAUAAAAGAAAUAGGGUAAUUUGGUUACUUUGUCAUCUUCAUUAACAUCGUACCCCCAUGAAAAUAUUUUUGAAAUUUUAAGAAGGUAUGUAAAAUAUAGAUUUUUAAAAGUUAGAGAGGAAAAGUGAAAAAAUGGGUAUUUUCAGAAAGUUUUCUGUAAUUUAGACAAAGUAUUAAGUAUGUCAUGUUAAGAAAGGCAUGCAUGGUAAAAGAAUUACUUCCAUUAUAUAAGAUGCAUAAAUUAAUUUUGGGGUAAACUUCAGUUGAUCAGCGCUCCAUGGUUUAGCGCAUUUUCACUUCGCCGCUCUACAAUUUAAAAAGUUGCGCUAGCUUAAUCACUUUGUGAUUUUAUUUUUGUUUUACCGUAAGAAUCUACUGUUAAACAGAGUAGUAAGGUGAUACUAUUUACAGAAUUGCAAUAUAUAUAUAUAUAUAUAUAUAUAUAUAUAUAUAUAUAUAUAUAUAUAUAUAUAUAUAUAUAUAUAUAUAUAUAUAUAUAUAAACAUUAAUUUCAGCUUAUAUAUUUUGUGUUAGCCAUAAAAGUCAUCAAUUAAGCGAGCAAACAUCAGUCCGACUCAGCUCGAAUUAGAUUAAGAGAAAGCUCGAGCUUGCAAGAAGCUAGAGAGAUCUGAGCUCGAAAUCGGCUCAUCAAUUAAGCAAGAUAACUCGAGCUCAUUAGAUUAGUUCGGAAAAAUUAGUCAAAAUCUUACAAAUUCCAAGAGCGAACAGUCAAAGUGACAAUUGAAAUCGUACUAAAUCAUCGGUACCACAAUCUUAAGACNCAGAAUGAUAAUUUAACUGUUAGAGCUAAUAAAUAUUUUAAAUAUAAUUUUAAACAUAUAAAUUAAAAAGAUUAGAAUUAUUGGUGAGAAAAAAAAUAGUUAGGAAUUUGAAUUCGAAUCUCACUAACAAUCACAAAACUUAUUUCCGAACUCGACAGAUUUCGAAAAUCCAUAUCCAAAUUCAAAACUGACCAAUUUUCCGAAACCCAAAACCAAACCUAAACCAGAAGACUAAAAUUCAAACAAUUAUUUCUAUUUAUCAUAUUUCAAAGUAUUUAUAUGAAACUUAAAUUUUUAAAAUAUAAAUUUGAAUAUAAUACUAAAUUUUAAAUUUAAAAGUGAAAUUUAAAUUAGAGGAAUUUCAUAUUACUAUUUAAAGUUUAAAUUCAAUGAUCAUGUUGUCAAAUCAUUUGAAAUUUUUCUUAUAUGAAAUGCCAAAUUAUGAAAGGAAAGAUAGAGAGAGAAAAAGGAAACAAAGAAAAAAUAAAAAUUUUGAAAAUAUAGUAGAUAUAAAAUGACUAAAUUGCCUAUGUAUUAAAAGACAAAAAUAUCCUUUUUUGAGAUACCUGAUAACCGGUACCUCUCCCAAAGUGACCUGCUAUUGCAGGUCACAAUUUUAAAAAAACUAAAUCUGAGCCGUUGAAUACACGUGAAUGAACGGUAACAAAAAAAAAAAAAGUAUAGAAGCAUUACUCUUUAUAACCUAUAUUUCACAAAAUGUAUCGUUGUGCUACCUUAUUUAACGGUAGGUACUUACAAUGAAACACAAACAAAAACACGUGAUACUUAAUUAAAUAUAAUUUUUUAAACUAAUUAAAAGUGUUGCAAAGUGAGAAUAGCUAAACUACAAUUAGUACAAAUUGAAGCUUACUCUUAAACUUAAGUUCAAACCGGUCGCAUAAACUUUAGGGCAAACUUCAAUUUGCCCCUAUAUCGUAUAGCAUAUUUUCACUUCGCCACCCUAUGAUUUAAAAAGUUGUGCUUUGUCCUCUUAUGAUUACCUUUUAUUUCACUAAAAAAUCUAUGUCGAAUAAGGUGACGAAGAAAAAAAGUUUGAGAAACCAUAGGGUGAUGCAUGUAGUAAAAAUACGUUAAACAUAGAAUAAAAUAGUUAAAUUUAACUUUUUGAACCACAGGAUGAUAAAGUAAAAAAUGAGCUAAAUGACAGAGGGGCAAAAGUGCAACUUUUUGUCUGUGACACCCCAAUAGUUCCACAUCGGAUGGGAAUGGGGUUGUCAUUAGGUUUAAGAAACUUAGACACUAGUAAUAAUAACUGGGCUUAAGCAUUUUGGGUUGUUGGCUAGGCCCAACGAGUUAUUAUUGAUAGUGAGCUGGGUUGUUACAUUUGGUAUCAGAGCCGGUUCACCAGCUGGACAUGUGUGGCAAGUUUCAGCUGAGCCAGGGUCUGGAUGACGGGCUAGCGAGACGAGUCUCAUAUCGCCUGAUGAUCUUGGACUGUAUGUGAUUGGACUGACGAGGACGUCAGGGCCUUAACGGGAGGGAGUCUGUGACACCCCAAUAGUCCCACAUCGGAUGGGAAUGGGUUGUCAUUGGGUUUAUGGGAAUGAGGUUGUCAUUGGGUUUAUAAGAGACUUAGACACUAGUAAUAAUAACUGGACUUAAGCAUUGAGUACAAUCUCUUGUUAGUUUCAUCUCAUACAACAAAAGGCGAAAAAAAAAAAUUUAUUUAUCAAACGUCUAACAGCUAUACGGACAAGAAAUUUCAGAAGCCAUGUUAAAAAACAUUAAACUUGAAUAUAAGAAGAAAUUUUUUUUUUAGAAAGAUAAGUCAAAUAGAAAAAAUUAACAUUAAACUUGAAUACAUGCACUUAAUUUUCUCUUGAAAUUUUAAAAUUUCUUGAUUUUUUUUUUUGUUCCUUUUGGAGUGGAAUAUUAAUAAGUAAUGUAAUUAUAGAAAUUGAGGCCUAAGUUAAAUUUGAGAGACAAAAAAUUACAAAGUAAAGAAGCCCAUGCAAAGUAAGGUAGGUUUUUUUAAAAUUUGUGAUCCAUUUAUAUUGUAGUCAUUAUUUAGGUAAAAAAAUAUUAGCAACUUAAUUACCUGCCGUAUCACCCAUUCUGAAUUGGCUAUCUAACUUUCAAACUUAUAAGAUAAAAAAAAAGGGACUGCAUGACUAAAUUAAAGGAACUGAAAUUUACGUAAUCAAACAAAUUAAAAGAAUUAAGGACCAAAAUCGAAAAGUUUAAUGGUUCGAUAGUUGUUUCAAAAUAGAUCAUAGUUUAUGUAAAUUCCAUACAUUUUUCUUCCUAUUACUUUUCGUUCCAUAUAUAGUCUUUUCAUAGCAAAUUUACUUUCUUGUUUUUUUUUUUUUUUUUUUUUUUUUNUAUAUAUAUGUGUGUGUGUGUGUGUGUGUGUGUGUGUGUGUGUAGCAUUAGAGAACUAGGACUACUUAACCAUUCACAUUAUAACCAACCCAUACCUGCUGUGAAAGAGACCAUCAACAAACACACAAAGAUAAUUGCAAUACUUGUUCUAUCCAUAGUUAACUCUCCUACACUUCUAUGUGAAAAGCUUUAUAUAUACAUAUAUUUAUAUAUGUAUAUAUAAAAUUAAAUGCUAGCUCUAAUUAUAAGCAAUCAAUGUGGUAAUUGAAUGAAGUAGAGAUUCACCAGUAUAUAUGAACAAGAACACUUGGCAAUAGGGAGAUAUGGUAUUCAAUAAAGUGAGAGAUUAUAAAAGAUUUGGAGUGUUCAAUUAUGCAUUCACAUCUACUUUUUGACUCUCAAUUAAUUCAUUAACAAAACUUUAAAAAAGAAAAAUGUUGCCCAUUUUAACACUUUCACGUGUGCGUGGAUUGGCAAAUUAAUUUAGUUUUAAUAGAGAUAAUGGUAAUUAUAUGUUUAAGCAAAUUAUUGAACAAAUUAAGGUACCAUAGCUAGAGUCUAUGAUACUUUAGUAAUCAAACUAGCUAAUGAAUCUUAUUUGGCUCAAAUUUUUGAAUUUAAGAUCAUGCCAAGUUGGUGGUAAAUUAUAGUAUGGGUGUUAUAGUUCGAAGAUCAUCGAUCAAAUUAAUGACAUGGUUUUCUGUGACUUCGGGAUAGAGUGUUCAUUUUGGGGACUUAGUCUACAUUUGGAUGUCAGAAUAAGUUAUGAAAUAAUAACUUAUUCUGUGUGAAAAACUUCUAGUGUGAUUGAAAGCAAAGAGUUUAACUUUUGCUUAGCAAAAAAUCUCGACACCUAUAAUUUGAUAUGAUAGCAUAUUUAAUUAGCUUUAUCACAAAAAAAUGACACGAAGGUUGAAUAUGAUAUCCCAUUCUAAGCAUUUGAUUGCAUUUAAUUCUAAUCUACCAAAUAUUAUAAAUUUCUUAAGUAAAUUAAAAAGAUAUACCAAGUAAAAUAUUCACACAUCCAAACAUGGCCUUGACGUGUAAAAAUAAAAUAGCAGGAACUCUUGUAAUAUACCAACUAUGUUAACUAGAAAAUAUAUAUGUUUUUUGUAUUUUUUAGUAAAUUUUUGGAAAAGUUAUCCUUUUCAGCUCAAAUUCAAAAAAGAUUCAUGGUAGUAACAAGGAUUUAUUUAAUUUGCUACAUUCUGUUCAAUAUUAAUGUUUUUACACGUAGUUCUCGUCGAUCGUAUGAAAUUUUGCAUGAUUUAUUAUGGACCGCAAUCCUAUUCAACUUAUUGGACUUAUCUAAUUCAACUUAUUAGUCUGACGAACCUAUUAUUACGGGACAAGAAAUUAGACAUAUUUUAGACAAUAAUAAAUAGCGAACAUGUCUCUCCCUCUCUCUCGCUGGAACCCUCAUGAAUGGAGAGCCUUAGUUACUAUACACAAAAAGUUCAAAUUGGAGGUGUAGACCAUGGGGUGGAUAGAAAUUUUAAAAAGUUUAAAAUUUUGAUUGAACUCAAAAUUUAAAUAAAAUUUAAAAAUAUUAAAUUUAAAUCUUAAAAUUAAUGUUAAUAAUUUUUUUGGCUUGUAUUAUUAUAAAUCUUUUGGGUAUUAGAUAUGGUAUCAAAGCUAAUUCUAAAACCCUUCAUCUUGUAAAGUCAUGGAUUCUAUCCCUAAUAUAGAUCGUUGGCGCUAACCAAUAAUUUCAAACGCUCAAGCUAUUAGAAAAGGACAACUAAUCCACUUGUAGUGUACAGACGCAACGCUCACGAGUAUCAAUUGUGACUGUGCCCAGUCAACCUCUGGUAUAUAUGUAGCUUUUGUGGGCAGCUCAUAAGCUUCGAUUAUAAAUCUGCCUAAAUCGACCUCUACUACAUAGGUACGUAGGAUGCUGGCCAACAUAUACCUUUGAUAUUCAAAAGGGUAAAUUUUGGAAUUAUAUAAUACGCGGUAAAAGAAUUAGUUGUUUUAAAUUAUUUAACAUACUGUAAGAGAGAGAGAGAGAGAGAGAGAGAAUCAAACCCAAAAGUAUAAUGUUAUACCAUUGACUUAUACAUGCAUAAUAAAAGCAUAGGUUCUGUCUCCAAUAUCUAUCUUUCUCAUUUAUGACAACUUAACUUGAACAUGGAUAAAUCAAGAGCUUAUACACUUCUCUUUCUUAUUCAAUUUGUUCCUUUCCUCCCACAAAGGGGAAACAUUAAGCUAGUAACUAACUUAAGCUAUAUAUGAACUUUUGAUUCUAAUGCCUUUUUACCACAUAUGUAACAAUAGCAUUUGCUCCAAAACCCCUUGCAAAUACCACCAUGGUAGCUAUUGAGGAAGCAAAGCGCCGUGCAAAUCGGAUUUAUGCAUGGCCCAGGAUACAAUAUGAGUUUCUUCUCACACUUUUCAUCACCCUCGUCAUCACCGUUUCCACCAUCACCCUUGUCACUACCACCCUUGUCACCACCUUUUCCAUUACCCUUGUCAUCACCUUUUCCAUCACCCUUGUCAUCACCCUUUCCACCAUCACUCUUGUCAUCACCGUUCACUAUCUCUGCAAGCAAACCAUUUUCAACAAACAUAUAUGUAUAUAAAGUUAGAUGCAAAACAUGCUUUCACAAGAAGCACUUCCAUUUAUGUGAAUAUAUUAAUCUUAAGCUUAAACUGGUUUUGAAAGUUCUUGUAUGUUAUAUAACAUUAACAUAUAUAGUUUCUCAUGAGAACUACAAGCACCCAUAUAUACCCCCCCAUAAUGAAGUAUAUAUAUAAGCUCCAUUAAGGGACUUACAUUGUUUGCAUGUAGUUGUAAUUGUGUUGUAGUUUUAUUUACAUGCUAAAUCAAUUACAUGAAUGUUUGAUUGAUGAAUUUGAAUCCAAAUGCUAUAGUUGGAACUGCAAAAUAAAAUGCAAUUGCAGCAAUUAGGCUACAUGUGGAUUGUCCACAGUUUGAACUGCAGUAUUGGGAGAUUGAAAUUUUUAAACAAGAGGUAAGCCUACCUUUCUAGGCGCAUUUCAAACAAAAAAUAUAUUUUUUCUUCUGCAUUAGAGGUAAUCUCACCACGCUAUAAGUAGAGUGACAAAGUUUGUAAACACUAUUUUUAAUUGCAUGCAACCAAACAUAUUAUUUACAACUACAGUGAUUUCGACCACAUCUAAUCAAGCAAUAUACGUAAUAGCUGCAAUUGCUGCAUUUUCAACUAUACUGCAUACACAAUUAGAUUCAACCCAAGGCUCCUUAAAAGAGGUGUGGAGACUCAAUACCUAUGGAUAGAGAGACCAUCAACAAGCAUACAAAAAUAAUUGCUAUACUUUUUCUAUACAUAGCUAACUUUCUUAAUCAUAUAUAUUUGCUAUAACAUAAUAGAGAGCCCUCCAUAUAUAUACCUCUAAGUAUGAAAAAAAUUAAUGUGGUAAUUGAAUGAAGUGCAUUUAUGAGAAAAGUUGAUACAUUAAUUGUAGUGAGAUAUGAUAUUUCAUAAAGUGAGAUUAUAGAAGAUUUGUGGCAUUUACAUAAGCUUCUACUUUUUGACUCUCUUAGUAGUUCGUUGACUAUGCUAAAAUGUUAAACAAGUAGUUUGUUGACAAUAGAAAAAUUUUAAAAACUUUGUUUAUUUAGAAAUGGCUAAAUUAUAUAUAGCUUUGGUUCUCAAACUAUGAAACAAGUGAUAUUUUGGUUCUCAAACUUUAAUUUAUUGUAAUUCGUGUAUCAAAUUUCUUAAAUUGUUGUAAACUUGCUGAUUCUCUCUAAUUCUUUCACAUGUAGAUCUUUUUUAAAACAAAUUUAUGAGGGUGUCAUUCUCUCUUAUUUACUACCUUUGAAAAGCUUGAUGACUAUUGCAUAACAAAAUUUCUCUUAUUUACUACCUUUGAAAAGCUUGAUGAACUAUUGCAUAACAAAAUUUAUCCUAUAUAUUGGAUAAUGUGUCUUGAAUUUAAAUGACAUCGAAUGCUUGUUUUGAUUUUGAUCUAAUUUGAAGAGAAGUGAAUUGUCUCUUAAGUGAGAAAGCUUUAGUCAAGUUAGAUAUAAAUGAAUUAUCUGAUCCAAAUUGAAAGUUUAGGAAAAACUUAACAUGGCAUGUGAGACACAUUAUCCAAUAUGAGAAAGCUUUAGUCAAGUUAGAUAUAAAUGAAUUAUCUGAUCCAAAUUGAAAGUUUAGGAAAAACUUAACAUGGCAUGUGAGACACAAGAGAGAGAAAGAGAGAGAGAGAGAGAGAGAAGAAGAAGAAGAAAAAGAAGACGAAGAAUUA